AAUGAGAGUAAUAUAGUUGAAUCUUCGAAAGUAUUUCAAGAAGUCAGCUGAGCUUUCUCGUCAUCACUUAUUAGUAAAUAUAGUCUCUAUAUUUUUGAUGAGUGAUGAUUGGAAAUUUCGUUGACUCAUUACUCUUGAUGAUUCUGCUAUGUUGCUGCUCAUU